AUGCAGUCGACGCCCCGCAGGGGAGUGGCAGACGGGUGAGUAACGCGUGGGAACAUACCCUUUCCUGCGGAAUAGCUCCGGGAAACUGGAAUUAAUACCGCAUACGCCCUACGGGGGAAAGAUUUAUCGGGGAAGGAUUGGCCCGCGUUGGAUUAGCUAGUUGGUGGGGUAAAGGCCUACCAAGGCGACGAUCCAUAGCUGGUCUGAGAGGAUGAUCAGCCACAUUGGGACUGAGACACGGCCCAAACUCCUACGGGAGGCAGCAGUGGGGAAUAUUGGACAAUGGGCGCAAGCCUGAUCCAGCCAUGCCGCGUGAGUGAUGAAGGCCUUAGGGUUGUAAAGCUCUUUCACCGAUGAAGAUAAUGACGGUAGUCGGAGAAGAAGCCCCGGCUAACUUCGUGCCAGCAGCCGCGGUAAUACGAAGGGGGCUAGCGUUGUUCGGAAUUACUGGGCGUAAAGCGCACGUAGGCGGAUAUUUAAGUCAGGGGUGAAAUCCCGCAGCUCAACUGCGGAACUGCCUUUGAUACUGGGUAUCUUGAGUAUGGAAGAGGUAAGUGGAAUUCCGAGUGUAGAGGUGAAAUUCGUAGAUAUUCGGAGGAACACCAGUGGCGAAGGCGGCUUACUGGUCCAUUACUGACGCUGAGGUGCGAAAGCGUGGGGAGCAAACAGGAUUAGA
rnacentral:rRNA from 1 species